AACGAACGCUGGCGGCAUGCCUAACACAUGCAAGUCGAACGAGACCUUCGGGUCUAGUGGCGCACGGGUGCGUAACGCGUGGGAACCUGCCCUUAGGUUCGGAAUAACUCCCCGAAAGGGGUGCUAAUACCGGAUAAGGUCUUCGGACCAAAGAUUUAUCGCCUUUGGAUGGGCCCGCGUUGGAUUAGCUGGUUGGUAGGGUAAAAGCCUACCAAGGCGACGAUCCAUAGCUGGUCUGAGAGGAUGAUCAGCCACACUGGGACUGAGACACGGCCCAGACUCCUACGGGAGGCAGCAGUGGGGAAUAUUGGACAAUGGGCGAAAGCCUGAUACAGCAAUGCCGCGUGAGUGAUGAAGGCCUUAGGGUUGUAAAGCUCUUUUACCCGGGAUGAUAAUGACAGUACCGGGAGAAUAAGCUCCGGCUAACUACGUG
rnacentral:rRNA from 1 species